ensembl:lncRNA
UGAGACGUGCUCUGAAGCUCCUCUUGCAUUUGAGUUUGAUUGCAUAGAAGCUGUUUCAAAUGGCAUCAGAAGGACAAAGCAAGGAUAAGGAGGGCCAAUCUGAGGAUCUUCCAACUCCUUUCCAGGGCUGCAGAACAUUACAGUGGGGAGCUAUACUCUCUGCAGUGAAAGACCAAAUUCCAUCUCUGGACUCUGACACUUCAGUGUCUGACGGUGAAGAUGAUGGGGAGCUCUUCAUUUUCCAGCGAGAUGAACCCAAUCUGAUCCCUGACUUGUCAGAAGAACUUGAAGAUUUUUCUCUUGAACACCUGGACAUGCAGCAAAUCCUAGAAACUAGAAGACACCCAAGAGAGAUGUGGAACAGAAGUGGAGAAAGAUUAGAUCUUCAGGAAGAAAUGGAUGACACUCAAACUGUGGCAAGAGAACGCACACCAUUGUCUAGGAAUAAGUCAGAUGCAUUUACCAGCUUGACUGGAGAAACUCUAGGCAAAAGUGGAGCAUUCCUUCCAGAAUUACUUGUAGAUCCCACAGAUGAAGUUCAUAAAAUUAAAGAAUUAGGCAGUGAAAAAAAGGAGGAAACAGAGGGAUCCUGGAUGAAUAACAAACCAUCUAGGAGAAAGCCGUAUUUUGAUGAAUCAAACAGCAAUGCGGAGGAGAGAAGAAAGAUGAUAGAAACAAAAAUACUCUCUAAAGUAACCUUGGAGCCAUCUCCUAGAAAUGUGGGUCACCCAGAGCUAAAAAUCAACUCAUCCUUGGAGACCAAUAGUGACAAUUUAGACAGAUUCCCUCAUGCAGGAAAUGAGCAAAGAGCCUCUUCAGGUGAACACCCUCGAGGGCUAACACUCUUUUCUUUGCAGGAUAUCGAGAAGUGGGAUCUAGACAAGAUUCUCAAGAACAUGAAACAUCAGGAUGAUGGAACACACUCAGAAGAACCUGCUUUCCCUUCAGUGGAUCACAGUAACUUCACAAUACAUGUUAACCUUGCUGAAAAUGUGUACAAAUCAGUUCAGAAUAGAGACUGCAAACCCCCUCAGUCCCUCAGAUCCAACCGCUGCUCUUCUUUAUACUGCUCCCUUUACUCUCUUCUUCACUGUUUGCAAUGAUGGCACCUUGACCACUUCCUUUAGAUGUUGGUUCCAAUGCUUAACUUCUCUUAAUUUCAAGAAUUUUCCUUACUGAUUCUAGCCUAAACUUUCCUUUACCUUUAAGCCACUGCUGCUUAGCCUGUCAAGGCAGAAUGUGUCUUUCAAUAUAUAAAUUGUGCUGAUCCUCUGCUGAUUUAUGCCUCACCCAAAUGGGUCUGUGUUGCUUAGAAGUUAAAAUAAGAUUCCUUCAGGCAAGGAGGGACCACCCCUUGGAAGGGACCAGCGUUGCACCCAGUUAGAGCUGUCUCUGGUCUGUAGUAGGUAUGUAAGCUGCUACAGGUAGGGUUCCAUCUCCCGGUGCUAUAGCAUUUUUACAGGCUGGAAAACAGGUCAUCAUACCUACUGCCAUCUUAGAAUCUGAUCCACUUCCCAUUUGUCAAUUUUCCAAGUCUUCCAAGUCUCUAGGAUCUGGCUGAUUGUUUCUGGUUGAUCUAAGCUCUAUGACUGUGCUUGGGGAAUAGUGGUAGGGCUUAAGAUAAUCUAGUGGUUCCCAGUCUGGGUGCCACAACACCCUAGGCUGCCUUGAGAAUGUUUCAGGGGUGCUAUGCUCUGCACUGUUCGAUGUGCAGACAUGAUUCACAAGAUAAACCAAGAUAAAACAAGAUAAACCAAGAGGUUUCACACAGGAAUCCAUAGUGUCAAAACCAUUCUGACUUGUUGUGGUCUUUCUGAGUUCUUUACAACAUAAGAGUUACUCUGUUUUCUUUCUGUAGUAAAAAAUUGAGUGAAAGCUAAGAGCUGACUCUGAAGGAGUCCUGGCGUCUAUCAGGAGGUGCCUUAAGUUUAAAUACAUUGAGAGCUAUUGUACUAGUGGAUCUACAUGGGAAAUGGAUAAAUAGAAUUAAUCAAUGAGAGACAUGUCAACUCUGAAGAUAAGUGGAAAUCAGAGAGUAUGCCGGCUACACUAUGGUCA